rnacentral:tRNA from 1 species
UAGCUCAGUUGGUUAGAGCAUUCGGCUAAUAACCGAAAGGUCGCCGGUUCGAGACCGGU